CACAAGAGCCUGCUAGUUUCAGAGUCCUGAUGUUCUGUCCCUUCUUGCAACUCUCCAAAAAAUUGACCCAAAAGAAAUUCCAAAUAUACUUCUGUUCUACGGCCAUUAACCUCCAUGCUAUCACACAACAACGAAACUACCACCCCAAGUUUUGUGCAAAUCAGCAGGUAAAAAAGCACAGGUCCAGCAUCAUGUUCAAAGACAUGAUGUUCAAAGCGAUAAUGUUCAAAGACACAUAUGCUAGCAUUUUCCAAUGAUUUCAAGUACCCAAGGCUGGGCAGCGCCGCGCCAUUGAGUUGCCUUCAGGGAAUUGUCAGUUCUGGACUAUGUGUGGCUGCAGUUUUCUGGAGCUCAAUGAUGGAAGGCCCUUUGUUCGUGUCUUCUUUCACUCCUUUGGGACUAGUAUUCACUACCCUUGCUGGAUCCCUCUUUCUAAAAGAGGAGCUGUGUUUGGGAAGGUUAUGAUAUGGGGAAAAGGCAAGGAGGCAACUGCAUCUCAAGAUGGAGAAACUGAAAGCAGGAGGGAUGAAGUAACCGAUGGUAGCCAGGCUGCGCCUCUCAUUGUCCCCGGCCAGUGCACUGAUUAUCAAACAAAUGGGGUUCAUCAACAAUUUAAGCAUGAACAUGUUUUACAAGCUCGGUUAGCAUUGCCAAGAAUUGAUUGAAUAUUGCUGAGCCACUGUAUCCUUUUCUUUUUCCUUUUUUUGUCUUAGCAUUUUCUGUUAAAACAGUAGGCGAAUGGAUCUGAAUUCUGUUUCUGUAAUUCGAAAGAUGAAGAGCCACUCUCUUCUCAGCGCAUUUUUUUAGCUUUUCAAAUGUAAACUAUCCUGAAGAGUUAUAAUUGCUCUUGAUUGUGGAACCUGCAUAAUUGCUUUAGGUGUUUUGCUUUUGCGUUCUUCCUUC